rnacentral:rRNA from 1 species
GACGAACGCUGGCGGCGUGCUUAACACAUGCAAGUCGAACGGAAAGGCGCUGCGUUUGUUGGUUUCUCGAGUGGCGAACGGGUGAGUAACACGUGAGUAACAUGCCCUUGACUUUGGGAUAACUUCAGGAAACUGGGGCUAAUACCGGAUAGGAUCUCCUGCUGCAUGGUGGUGAUUGGAGAGUUUCGGCGGUUGGGGAUGGACUCGCUGCUUAUCAGCUUGUUUGUGGGGUAGUGGCUUACCAAGGCUUUGACGGGUAGCCUGCCUGAGAGGGUGACCGGCCACAUUGGGACUGAGAUACGGAGCAGAAGCGUAUGGGCGGCAGCAGUCGGGAACAUUGCACAAUGGCCGGACGCGUGAUGCGGAAACGCUGCGUGCGGGAUGACGGCCUUUGGGUUGUAAACAGAUUUCGACUGUGACGAAGCGUGAGUGACGGUAAUGGGUAAAGAAGCAACGGCUAACUACGUG